rnacentral:rRNA from 1 species
AGAUUAAGUUAUUAAGGGCGCACGGUGGAUGCCUUGGCACUAGAAGCCGAAGAAGGACGUUACUAACGACGAUAUGCUUUGGGGAGCUGUAAGUAAGCUUUGAUCCAGAGAUUUCCGAAUGGGGAAACCCAGCAUGAGUUAUGUCAUGUUAUCCAUAUGUGAAUACAUAGCAUAUGAGAAGGCACACCCGGAGAACUGAAACAUCUAAGUACCCGGAGGAAGAGAAAGAAAAUUCGAUUCCCUUAGUAGCGGCGAGCGAAACGGGAAGAGCCCAAACCAGGGUGCUUGCACCCUGGGGUUGUAGGACACUCAGCACGGAGUUACAAAGGAACAGCUUAGACGAAUGACUUUGGAAAAGUCAGCCAUAGAAGGUAAAGGCCCUGUAGUCGAAAAGCUAUUCUCUCCUGAGUGGAUCCUGAGUACGGCGGAACACGUGGAAUUCCGUCGGAAUCCGGGAGGACCAUCUCCCAAGGCUAAAUACUCUCUAGUGACCGAUAGUGAACCAGUACCGUGAGGGAAAGGUGAAAAGCACCCCGGAAGGGGAGUGAAAUAGAACCUGAAACCGUGUGCUUACAAGUAGUCAGAGCCCGUUAAUGGGUGAUGGCGUGCCUUUUGUAGAAUGAACCGGCGAGUUACGAUCUGAUGCAAGGUUAAGCAGUAUAUGUGGAGCCGUAGCGAAAGCGAGUCUGAAUAGGGCGAAUGAGUAUCAGGUCGUAGACCCGAAACCAGGUGAUCUACCCAUGUCCAGGUUGAAGUUCAGGUAACACUGAAUGGAGGACCGAACCGACUUACGUUGAAAAGUGAGCGGAUGAGGUGUGGGUAGCGGAGAAAUUCCAAUCGAACCUGGAGAUAGCUGGUUCUCUCCGAAAUAGCUUUAGGGCUAGCCUCGCAUGAUGAUUACUGGAGGUAGAGCACUGUUUGGACUAGGGGCCCCCCUCGGGUUACCGAAUUCAGACAAACUCCGAAUGCCAGAUAAUUUAAUGCGGGAGUCAGACUGCGGGUGAUAAGGUCCGUAGUCGAGAGGGAAACAGCCCAGACCACCAGCUAAGGUCCCAAAAUAUAUGUUAAGUGGAAAAGGAUGUGGCGUUGCCCAGACAACUAGGAUGUUGGCUUAGAAGCAGCCAUCAUUUAAAGAGUGCGUAAUAGCUCACUAGUCGAGUGACGCUGCGCCGAAAAUGUACCGGGGCUAAACAUAUUACCGAAGCUGUGGAUUGUCCGUAGGACAAUGGUAGGAGAGCGUUCUAAGGGCGUCGAAGCAUGACCGUAAGGACAUGUGGAGCGCUUAGAAGUGAGAAUGCCGGUGUGAGUAGCGAAAGACGGGUGAGAAUCCCGUCCACCGAUUGACUAAGGUUUCCAGAGGAAGGCUCGUCCGCUCUGGGUUAGUCGGGACCUAAGCCGAGGCCGAAUGGCGUAGGCGAUGGACAACAGGUAGAUAUUCCUGUACCACCUAAGAUCGUUUGAACGAUGGGGGGACGCAGUAGGAUAGGGGCAAAUCCGGUACUCAUCAAGAUCAAGGUGUGAUGGGGAGCGAAAUUAUAGUAGCGAAGUCGUUGAUUUCACACUGCCAAGAAAAGCCUCUAGUUAGAAAUUAGGUGCCCGUACCGCAAACCGACACAGGUAGUCAAGAUGAGAAUUCUAAGGUGAGCGAGCGAACUCUCGUUAAGGAACUCGGCAAAAUGACCCCGUAACUUCGGGAGAAGGGGUGCUUUUUAGGGUGCAAGCCUUGAAGAGCCGCAGUGAAUAGGCCCAAGCGACUGUUUAUCAAAAACACAGGUCUCUGCCAAACCGUAAGGUGAAGUAUAGGGGCUGACGCCUGCCCGGUGCUGGAAGGUUAAAAGGAGUGGUUAGCGUAUGCGAAGCUACGAAUUGAAGCCCCAGUAAACGGCGGCCGUAACUAUAACGGUCCUAAGGUAGCGAAAUUCCUUGUCGGGUAAGUUCCGACCCGCACGAAAGGCGUAACGAUUUGGGCACUGUCUCAACGAGAGACUCGGUGAAAUCAUAGUACCUGUGAAGAUGCAGGUUACCCGCGACAGGACGGAAAGACCCCGUGGAGCUUUACUGCAGCCUGAUAUUGAAAUUCGGCACAGCUUGUACAGGAUAGGUAGGAGCCUUUGAAGCGUGAGCGUCAGCUUACGUGGAGGCGCUGGUGGGAUACUACCCUGGCUGUGUUGACUUUCUAACCCGCGCCACUUAUCGUGGCGGGAGACAGUGUCAGGCGGGCAGUUUGACUGGGGCGGUCGCCUCCUAAAGAGUAACGGAGGCGCUCAAAGGUUCCCUCAGAAUGGUUGGAAAUCAUUCGCAGAGUGUAAAGGCACAAGGGAGCUUGACUGCGAGACCUACAAGUCGAGCAGGGUCGAAAGACGGACUUAGUGAUCCGGUGGUUCCGCAUGGAAGGGCCAUCGCUCAACGGAUAAAAGCUACCCCGGGGAUAACAGGCUUAUCUCCCCCAAGAGUUCACAUCGACGGGGAGGUUUGGCACCUCGAUGUCGGCUCAUCGCAUCCUGGGGCUGUAGUCGGUCCCAAGGGUUGGGCUGUUCGCCCAUUAAAGCGGUACGCGAGCUGGGUUCAGAACGUCGUGAGACAGUUCGGUCCCUAUCCGUCGUGGGCGUAGGAAAUUUGAGAGGAGCUGUCCUUAGUACGAGAGGACCGGGAUGGACAUACCUCUGGUGUACCAGUUGUCGCGCCAGCGGCAUAGCUGGGUAGCUAUGUAUGGACGGGAUAAGUGCUGAAAGCAUCUAAGCAUGAAGCCCCCCUCAAGAUGAGAUUUCCCAACUUCGGUUAUAAGAUCCCUCAAAGAUGAUGAGGUUAAUAGGUUCGAGGUGGAAGUGCAGUGAUGUAUGGAGCUGACGAAUACUAAUCGAUCGAAGACUUAAUCAAUUU